rnacentral:misc_RNA from 1 species
GAUGAAGAACGUAGCGAAAUGCGAUAAGUAAUGCGAAUUGCAGAAUCCGUGAGUCAUCGAAUCUUUGAACGCACAUUGCGCCCGCCAGUAUUCUGGCGGGCAUGCCUGUCCGAGCGUCAUUUCAACCCUCGAACCCCUCCGGGGGGUCGGCGUUGGGGAUCGGCCCUUUACGGGGCCGGCCCCGAAAUACAGUGGCGGUCUCGCCGCAGCCUCUCCUGCGCAGUAGUUUGCACACUCGCAUCGGGAGCGCGGCGCGUCCACAGCCGUUAAACACCCCAAACUUCUGAAAUGUUGACCUCGGAUCAGGUAGGAAUACCCGCUGAACUUAAGCAUAUCAAUAAGCGGAGGA